rnacentral:misc_RNA from 1 species
UUGACUGUUUUGUUUUGGUUGCUCAGAGCGUCUUGUGCGUUUGUAUAAAAGGUUCAGAGGGCCCGCCGCCCCCGGCGGGGGGUCAGGGGGCCCGGCUAGGGGCCCCCCUUCCCGCCCGCCGGAAGCAACGAGAACAGACUGGGGUACGGUUGGCAAGGGUUGGGAGUUGUGAAAACUCGGUAAUGAUCCCUCCGCUGGUUCACCAACGGAGA